GGGGAUACAGCUCAGUGGUAGAGCACACGCUUGGAGUGCACGAGGUUCUGGGUUCAAUCCCCAGUUCCUCCU
rnacentral:tRNA from 1 species